UCCAGAGACGACAUUGAAUGGACAAUCGCACCCACAAGUCUGAAGCUCUGGAGCGAGGUCAAAGACAGGUACACAUUUGGGAACCAUCAGCAGAGAGAAGAUACUGAAAGUCACGAAGCUGAAGCAGAAUACCAAGAAAAUGAGUGUAGACAGUGAAGAGAAGAAGCCCUGGAACUGAGUAUGGGGACACUACAGGGAUUAGAGUCAGGAAAUGAGAAGGAAACACAAAGGAGACUGAAGAGGACCAGCCUGACAGGUAAUCCUGUACCUGUUGGAUUGAGCCAGGAAAAUGAAGUAGAAAAUGCUACAACAAUCUGGACCGUGGGCCAUAUGCUCCCUUUGAGAGUCUAAUGAAAAAUAUAAACCCUCUCUCCAGAAAGGUAAGAAGGCAAGGAAAAUGACGGUAGUCGCAGACGGCAACAGGCUGGUGGUGGCGAUCUCUCAGGUUGGUCCCCACCCUGUGCCACUAUUCUCUUUGGACUUCGGCCUCUCCACCUCUCCUGUAGGGUAGGAAAACCUCACAAUCAGCAAAGUGCCCAUCCCAGAAGCUCUCAGGUAAAGCCCUGGUGGAGGAAAAUCCUAAGGAGACAAGACGACCUCAAAAAGUUCGUGGGAAAAUGAAGAUAAAGAACAAGUUUACUUGGGUGCAAGAAGCUUUGAAAUCCAAGCAUAGUUUUGCAUAAUAUGCAUUUUGGAGAACUUCUUGAAGACCCCUUGUAGUUGUGAGUUUACAGGUAAAGAAAAUGGGACAAGGAAUUCAAGGAGGAAUUCAAGCACUAUGAAAGAAGGAAAUCAAAUGAACUCAAGCAAAAAGAAGCAGGACAAGAAAUUUGAGUGAGCAUAGUCAAUAUUCUUAAGAGAGAGAAACAGAAAUCGGGAAGCCAGAAACAACAACAAACAGUUAAGGAAAAAUUGGAGAUUGGGAAUACAAAAUAUUAUUGCAGAACUGAAAAAAUUCAGUGGCUGGGCUGGGAAACAUGGCAUAUCCAAAAAACAAGGGUAUGAGUUGAAAGAUUCAGUCAAGGAAUUAACUCAGAGGUAUGAUGAAGGGUAAGAGAUGCAAACAGUGAGAGAAACGCUGGAGGCGCAGUAGGUGGAGGAAAACUAGACCCCAUCUGUGUAA